rnacentral:lncRNA from 1 species
UUUUCACAGACUGUUUGGUAAGGGGAGGGUGGAAGAAGGGCGAAGUAGUUUGGUUGUUGUAAGUGAGAAGAAACAGGGGAGAUGAAAGUGAAAUAUGAAGAAGAAGAAGGACUUGCGUUUUUGAGAGCAUUGAAUGUAUGCGUUUUAAGUCGUGAAUAAGGAGAAGAAGUCUUCUUAUUUUGACUCAGUUUUUUUUAUUAGCUUUUUUCUUUUACUUUUUUUUUU